rnacentral:lncRNA from 1 species
UUUUUUUUUUUUUUUUUUUUUUUUUUUGCUGUACUCAAAGCAUGUGGAGGUUCCUGUGCCAGGGAUCAAACCUGCAACACAGCAGUGACCGAAGCCACUGCAGUGACAACACUGGAUCCUUAAUCCACUGAACCACAAGAAGACUCCCACUGUUCUUUUUAAAAGUCUGAUUUUGGGGGGUUCCCAUAGUGGCUCAGUGGGUUAAGAACUCAACAUAGUGUCUAUGAGGAUGUAGGUUCAAUCCCUGGCCUCGCUCAGUGGGUUAAGGAUCUGGUGUUGCCUUAAGCUGAAGCCUAGGUCAUACAUGUGGUUUAAAUCCUGUGUUGCCAUGGCUGUGGCAUAGACCAGCAGCUGUAGCUCCACUUCGACCAUAGCCUGUGAACUUCCACAGGUGCAGCCUUAAAAAAAAAAAAAAAAAAAAGCAAAAGUCUGAUUUUGGCUACACAGGGCUCAGCUGUCCAGUGUACCUCAGGUCCCCAACACUCCCUACUGUCUGUCACCAUCGACAUUUCCUGCCUGGCCUCUUUCUGUGUACACUUGAAUCUGUGACCACAACCUCAAAACCAUUAAAGAAGAUUAUGCUCAGUGCCCUAUAUGCAAACAUAGUCCUGAGGAAGAAACAAGAGGAUUAAGAGAGGAAAUUUCCCCCUCAGGAGAGCGACAGCCACAAUGUAAGGCCCAGUGAUGGCUAUGACCAUGAUUCUACAGCACACAAUUUAAAUAACCACCUGAGGCAUGGCUAAUGGGUGAGAGGCCACUGUGGAGCAAGACAGCAAUAUUGGUCUAAGGUCAGAAGGAAGGGAGGGGCCAGGGUGUGUGUGCUGUGGUCUAGUGUCUAGUCUGCUCUCCAUCCCCCUUCUCCUCCUUUUUGAUGGAGCACCUUGAUUACCUGUGGGAAACUGUCCCAACCCAUGGUAGAGAGUCUGGGAGAGGAUGUCCAUUAAAGUGCUGUGGCCAAGGAGUAUGCGUGACCAAGUGACCCAAACCAGGCUACCCACACUCUUUCCUCCAAGAAUUUGGACCUUGAGCACAGGAACAGACGGGGAGAAAAUCUGUCCUCCCUUGAAGGAACUGCCCAUUAACUCCUGCUAUCUAGACUCCUCAGGCACCCUAACUCUUCCUCUUCCUGGGGCCUAUUUUGGGUCAGAUUCUGUAAAUUCUGGGACCUUUCCCUUUCAUUCCAAUAAGGUGUCUUUAGGGUCAGUCCUGUUGCUGGCAACCUGAGAACUCUGCCUUGUACAAGAGGUAUCCUGGAAAAUAUAGGAUGUGAGCUGACGAGAAUAGCUUAUUCCAGGUGAGGAGCAUGCUCUCAGGGAAGCCUCUAGAGAUCGCCGCUCCGCCUGGCUCAAGGGGAAAUGUCAAGGGAGGAAGUGUGCGAAAUGGGGGGCGGGAAGGGCUAGAAUGGGAGAGUCUUUUCCUAUUUGUCUUCAGGGUAUGGCCUUUCCCCUAGAGCAGAGGUUCCUGUGAUGUUGUUGUACACACUGCUGGGCUGUAAUCAGCGAGCAAACGAGUUAGAUCCAGUCCGCAGAGGACUGGGCAGGAUGCAUUAGAAACUGGGGAUGCUUUGGAGUUUCCUUUGUGCUCAGCAGGUCAAGAACCCAACACAGUGUUUGUGAGGAUGUGGGUUUGAUCCCUGGCCUUGUGCGUCAGGUUAAGGAUCCAGCAUUGCUGCAAGCUGUGGCGUAAGUCGCAGAUGUGGCUUGGAUCCAGGGUUGCCAUGGCUGUGGUUCCCUAGCCUGGGAACUUCCAUAUCCUGCAGUUGUGGCCAUAAAAAGAAAAAAGAAAAAGAAGAAAAGAAAUUGGGGAUGCACCAAGGAAGUGGGUUCAGUAGGAAGUCUCUUCCACCAGGUGAGCUGAGGUAGCAAAGUGUUGGGAGCCAAGACUGAAGAGAAAUAAGAGCAAUGGAGGAGGAGAGAAUAUGAGAAGACAGUAACUGUCUGCAAAGAAUAGAGUGGACCCUUGAGUCAGUCUGCCUGGGUUUGAAUCAUGGCCCCAUCAUUGACUUCGUGUGAUCAGUUUUUUCCUGUUUCAAUAUUCCCUACCUCAGUUUAAUUUAGUGGCUGGCCAAAACCAAGCAGUCAAAAAAGGAUGACUAGUGUCAUUAUUUUAAUCAAUAAAAUGUUAUUCUACUCAUCCAAAUUGCUAAUUAUCAGUUAUUAUGAUUACCCUUUAAUCUUCAGAUUCAAAGCCACAGACCAUGCCUGCAACCCACCCACACACAAAACACACAAUUAUAUUUCAGAAAUACCCCUGGGGCCCAGCCUGAAAUUACAGACUAAUAAACCUGAGACAAGGUCAAAAAGAUACCAUAAAAGAAAAGAUCCAGCAGGCAUAAAUUUGUACCAUUAUGUUCAAAGGGAAAUGGUUUGAGAGAUAGAGCUAUGGGAUGGACAGGGAUGCAGGUACUUGGCAGGGUUAGGACAGUAACCUAAGAUUACUUCCUGUUCUGAUAAGAUUCUUGGAAACUAGAUACAGAUACAGCCCCUGCUAUUUGAACUGGAGCAUGAUGGUCCAUGAUGUACCCUGUGAGCCUGCGAAACAGGACCUAAAAAUGUAACUGUAUUAUUAAAACAGUUCCAUUUAUCACUCUUCAAGAAGAUGGAGUGAUGGAGUAAGUGCUGGCCUGGGAGGUAGAAGUCCUGGAGGCCCCAGAGGGUCUAUGAAGAUUUCUGGGAAGGAAUUCACCCGAUAUAGUAGCUCCUGACCAUGACAGGCCCCUCCAGGUAGAGGGGAGCCAUUAGGACACACCUCAGGAUGUGUCUAGAAUAAUCCUAAGAGAUGUUUGGAUUAUAUCAGUAAACAAGGCACAAAGAUCCUUACCUCUGUGGAAUUUACAUUCUAGUGGGAGAGAGAGAGCAUAAACAACAAAUAAGUAUAUAUAAUAUAGUAUUAUUCAGAGAUAAUAAGGGCUACCAAAAACAAAGAAAGAAAAAAGGCAUCAGGAUGGGAAGAAGUGUUGUAAUUUUAAAUGGAGCGGCCAGGGGAGAUCUCUCUGAGAAGGUGAUUUUGAGCAAAGACUGGAAGGUUAGAGAUGGACCCAUGGGCUCUCGGGACAAAGAGGAUUCCAGGCUAGGGGUCUAAUUGGAGCUGUAGCUGCCAGCCUACACCACAGCCACAGCAAUGUGGGAUCCGAGCCUCGUCUGUGACCUAUACCACAGCUCACGGCAAUGCCACAUCCUUAACCCACUGAGCAAGGCCAGGGAUUGAACCUAAAACUUCAUGGUUCCUAGUCGGAUUUGUUAACCACUGAGCCACAACGGGAGCUCCUAUAUCUAUUUUAUGUAUAGCAGUAUGUAUCUGUUAAUCCCAAACUCCUAAUUUUUCCCUCCCCCACCCUUUCCUGUAAGUUUGCUUUUUCUGUGAAUCUAUUUUUGUUUUGUAAAUAAGUUUAUUUGUAUCAUUUUUUAGGAGUCUAUAUAUAAGUGAUAUCACAUAUUUGUCUUUCUCUGACUGACUUCGCUUAGUGUGAUCAUCUCUAGGUCCAUCCAUAUUGCUGCAAAUGACAAUACUUUAUUAUUUUCCAUGACUAAUAUUCCAUUGUAUAUAUGUACCACAUCUUCUUUGUCCACUCCUCUGCCAGUGAACACUUUGGUUGCUUCCAUGUCUUGGCUAUUGUGAAUAGUGUUGCUAUGAACUUUGGGGGGCAAGAAAGGAGAAAGUGGGUCCGACUUAGCUCUCUUCCAAGAUUGCAACUGCAGUAAAUGUUCCAAAAAAGCAAAUCAAAUUAUAUCAUUAGGCUUAAAAACCUUAAAUGAUUUCCCACUGACUUUAGGAAAAGUCCAAGGCAAUGGUCAGGGCUUAUAAACACUUUCAUGGGCUGACCUCUGCCCUUCCCUGCUGAAGCAUUUGCUGCUCCCCAAAUACAGGGCAUUCUCUCUUCACAUUGAGUCUUCACACGCUUCAUCAGUGUCAGAAUGUAAGGGGUGUGUUUACCCUGAUUUAGUGUAAACUUAAUGAUCAGGGUUUCCCUUUUUUUUACCUCCAAGAUUCCCAUCUUUUCCAAUAGUAAAAGAUAUAAUUUAGGGAAACUGUUUUGACUUUGAAGGU